GUGCAGCUUGAGGCCGUUUACUCCUGUCCUGUCGCUGGCUGCCUGGGAGAAGAGGCCAUUGCCCACCUUCCCACAAGCUCCUCUCAGGUACCUGUAGAGAGCUGUGAGGUCACCCCUGAACCUUCUUUAUUCCAGGCUGAACAACCCCAACUCCUGGAUUUCACCAUCCAGGCCUAAUGAUGAACCAGCGUGCCCAAAUCCCCCAUGUUACUUUGAUGAAUAGAAAACGCCUUUCAUGCGGCAUCUGAGUGACAGCAGCGAUUAUGGUGAUUGAAUUUGCUGUAGAGUGACAUUGGUACAAUGCUGACAGCUGACCUGCAGCGUCCAAUACCUCCUCUGCAGGAAAGGAGAAAAAAGAAUGUGUGGGAAGAACACCAAGGGAUAUUCUCUGGGCCCUGAGGAAACACAAAUUCCCCUGGGCGGAUGUACUGGUUUAAAACCCAGUGGGAAAGUUAACCCCAGUGAACUGCACCUCAUUCUCCACCCUCUUCCAACGAGUGACAAAACUCCUGGAGAGACCACAAGCAAGAAUCACAAUUUUCCUGAGAAACUUGUAAUAAAUGCAGUACCAAUAAAAGAGGGCACAAAAGAGGAAAUACCCACAAGAGGGUAUUCAGCAUGGAACAAACACAAACACUUCCUGAAGAGAGAGAGCCUGGCAUUUUUCUUUUUGCUGCCUUUAACAUCAUUGCUUUGAUACAGUGCACUAUACUAUCCUGUACCAUACACUACUAGUAGUUUUAACUUCUAUACAGGUUAAGAUCUUUCAUCUAAUAAUAUGUCAUAGUGAAUAAUUCCUUCUAUAUAAAUAUACCUGAGGAGGUAUAUUUAUAUAAAAUACCUCAGUAUAGAGGUGUUCAAUCCUGUUUUUCUGAACAGGUGUGGAAUUACAUGAUGUGGAGCAAUAGGAAGGAUACACUUCAAAAACAGGGUCACAGUGUUUUCCCCCACAGCGUGGGAAAAGUUGAGGCUAGAGGCUGGUGAAUUUGCAGAUGGUCUAUUUAAACUUGUAAAGCCUGUAAAGAAAACUAUUUAAUGACAUUUUAGAAUUGUGACAUGCACAGUCACUAGUAAUAUCAACUGAAUUAAU